rnacentral:rRNA from 1 species
CUAAAAUUUGGAAAGAAACCCUAAACCAUUGUGACGUUACCUAUACCGUUGCUUCGGCGGGCGGCCCCGGGGUUUUAUCCCCCGGGCGCCCCUGGGCCCCACCGCGGGCGCCCGCCGGAGGUCACCAAACUCUUGAUAAUUUAUGGCCUCUCUGAGUCUUCUGUACUGAAUAAGUCAAAACUUUCAACAACGGAUCUCUUGGUUCUGGCAUCGAUGAAGAACGCAGCGAAAUGCGAUAAGUAAUGUGAAUUGCAGAAUUCAGUGAAUCAUCGAAUCUUUGAACGCACAUUGCGCCCGCCAGCAUUCUGGCGGGCAUGCCUGUUCGAGCGUCAUUUCAACCAUCAAGCCCCCGGGCUUGUGUUGGGGACCUGCGGCUGCCGCAGGCCCUGAAAAGCAGUGGCGGGCUCGCUGUCGCACCGAGCGUAUAACAUACAUCUCGCUCUGGUCGCGCCGCGGGUUCCGGCCGUUAAACCACCUUUUAACCCAAGGUUGACCUCGGAUCAGUAAGGAAAACCCGCUGAACUUAAGCAUAUCAGAAAGCCGGAAGGAAG